UAUCGUCGAUCAAUUAAUCAAUUAGAUCUUCGAAAUGUGUAUAAAAAUACUACUUGAAUAAAGUAAAACGUGAAGAUGUAAUUAUGAUAAUAUCGUGAAUUUUUUGUUUUAUUUUCUGUUCAUUGUUCAGGUUUUGAUCUGUAUCAAUAAGUAGUUUUAUUUUCUGUCAAUAAAUAGAUGAGAAUAGUAUAAAGUGGAUCAAUAAUAACAUCAUACAGUACCAUAUUGAGAGUGAGAAGAAAAAGUAAAAGAGGAGAAGAGAGAGACAGAAAAGGAUGAUAAACUUACAAAGGACAAAGUAAAAUGAAAAAAAGGAAGCUAUAUCUUGGAUCUUAUAUAUCCUUUUAGUGAACGCGGAAGAGGAUGGAUCACGUUCAUAGUUGUAGCAGUUGCGUGGAAAAGAAUCUUGGAAUUCGAAGUAUAUCUCAAAGCACCUUUGGAUCCUUUAGGAUGUCAUGUAGGCGUACAACCGAAAACGAGAGAACGAUAGUAAAGGAAGAAAUGAUUUCUCUAUGAUCGCGAGAUGAAACUUCUCGAGGAAUUCUAAGUGAGCAAAAGCAAUAUGAUUAAAUAAAGAGCUAUAUUCUCUGGAGUCAUUCGACGAAAAAUAGUACGAAGAAUGAACUGUUCUAGAGGUGAAUAAAGUAAGUAACAUACCCACACACGCAGUUUUGAAGAAUAUUAUCGCAAAUUAAAGAAACGAAUUCAUACACACAGACACACGGACACGGACAUUGUUAAUGUAUCGAGAAAGGGAGAAAAAGGAGAAAGAGGAAGGUUAAAUGAGAAGGUGGAGGAGGGUCAGUGAGAAGGGAGGAAGAAAAUGAGGGCGUGAGGUGAAUGACUAGCACGCCCUCAAAGGUAUUAUAAUCAAUUUAUUCGCUCGCGUAAGAGGUAAACGGUAUAAUUAUAUUUAAUAUGUGCAUAUAGGUGUAAAAGAAAUAAAAAUUAUAAUUAAAUGAACUUAAUCACAUAAUCGAGAAUGGACGACUAGGUUAAAUUUGUCGGAUGUGAAAAAAGAAGUGAUAUGAAAAAACAUGUGGUGCUAGUGAUGCUUAAUGAUGAUGUGGCACAGUACUGGUAUUAACAAAUGAAUAAACAAAUAAAGUGGUGGGAGUGAUCGGUCGACGAUAUUCUC